CCCCAGCGCCACAAGUGGUGACCGCAUUUAUUGGGCCUAAAGCGUCCGUAGCCGGCAUUCUAAAUCUUUUGUGAAAUCGUUAGGCUCAACCUAACGGCGUGCAGAAGAGACUGGUAUGCUUGGGACUGGGAGGAGUCAGAGGUAUUGGUGGGGGAGCGGUAAAAUGUUAUAAUCCCACUAAGACCACCUGUGGCGAAGGCGUCUGACUAGAACAGAUCCGACGGUGAGGGACGAAAGCUAGGGGAGCGAUCCG
rnacentral:rRNA from 1 species